rnacentral:rRNA from 1 species
UACGUAGGGUGCAAGCGUUGUCCGGAAUUAUUGGGCGUAAAGAGCUCGUAGGCGGUCUGUCGCGUCGGCUGUGAAAUCCCGAGGCUCAACCUCGGGUCUGCAGUCGAUACGGGCAAACUAGAGUAUUGCAGGGGAGACUGGAAUUCCUGGUGUAGCGGUGAAAUGCGCAGAUAUCAGGAGGAACACCGACAGCGAAGGCAGCACUCUGGGCCGGUACUGACGCUGAGGAGCGAAAGCAUGGGGAGCGAACAGG